AACGAGGCCGACCUGCGGCUGAGUUACCUGCGGAAGGAUCAUUACAGAGUUGCAAAACUCCCUAAACCAUUGUGAACGUUACCUAAACCGUUGCUUCGGCGGGCGGCCCGGGUCCUUCCCGGCGCCCAUCGGCCCUCGCGGGCGCCCGCCGGAGGUAAACCAAACUAUUGCAUUGUAUGGCCUCUCUGAGUCUUCUGUACUGAAUAAGUCAAAACUUUCAACAACGGAUCUCAGAUCGGA
rnacentral:misc_RNA from 1 species